CAAUAGCCCUGAUAGAAGUGAAAAUCCUAUUUAGUUUUUCUUUAAAAACCAAAUAGAUUGCAACGAAUAGCAGGAAUAGCU
rnacentral:sRNA from 1 species